rfam:TPA: Bos taurus chromosome 2, whole genome shotgun sequence.
UCCCUGGUGGCUCAGACGGUAAAGCGUCUGCCUGCAAUGCAGGAGACCCAGGUUCGAUCCCUGGGUUGGGAA